rnacentral:misc_RNA from 1 species
GACAGAAGCCGCAAGCGUUACCCGGAAUCAUUGGGCGUAAAGGGUCCGUAGGCGGAAGAGUGCGUCUACUGUUAAAUCCAAGGGCUCAACCCUUCGGGCAGCAGUGGAUACGGCUCUUCUUGAGGCGGGGAGAGGUAAGCGGAACUCCUGGUGGAGCAGUGAAAUGCGUUGAUAUCAGGGGGAACACCAAUUGCGAAGGCAGCUUACUGGUCCUGUCCUGACGCUGAGGGACGAAAGCGUGGGGAGCGAAUGGG